rnacentral:rRNA from 1 species
CGCGAAGAACCUUACCUAGCCUUGACAUAUUUAAGAACACUUUAGAGAUAGAGUGGUGCCUUCGGGAGCUUUUAUACAGGUGCUGCACGGCUGUCGUCAGCUUGUGUCGUGAGAUGUUGGGUUAAGUCCCGCAACGAGCGCAACCCUCGUCACUAGUUACUAACGGUUCGGCCGAGGACUCUAGUGAGACUGCCUUCGCAAGGAGGAGGAAGGUGAGGACGACGUCAAGUCAUCAUGGCCCUUACGGCUAGGGCAACACACGUGCUACAAUGGCCAGGACAAUGAGAAGCGAUACCGCGAGGUGGAGCAAAUCUAUAAACCUGGUCUCAGUUCGGAUUGUAGUCUGCAGCUCGACUCCAUGAAGUCGGAAUCGCUAGUAAUCGCAGGUCAGAAUACUGCGGUGAAUACGUUCCCGGGCCUUGUACACACCGCCCGUCA